rnacentral:rRNA from 1 species
GACGAACGCUGGCGGCGUGCCUAAUACAUGCAAGUAGAACGCUGAAGGAGGAGCUUGCUUCUCUGGAUGAGUUGCGAACGGGUGAGAACGCGUAGGUAACCUGCCUGGUAGUGGGGGAUAACUAUUGGAAACGAUAGCUAAUACCGCAUAAUAGCAGUUGUUGCAUGAUAACUGUUUGAAAGGUGCAAUUGCACCGCUACCAGAUGGACCUGCGUUGUAUUAGCUAGUUGGUGGGGUAACGGCUCACCAAGGCGACGAUACAUAGCCGACCUGAGAGGGUGAUCGGCCACACUGGGACUGAGACACGGCCCAGACUCCUACGGGAGGCAGCAGUAGGGAAUCUUCGGCAAUGGACGGAAGUCUGACCGAGCAACGCCGCGUGAGUGAAGAAGGUUUUCGGAUCGUAAAGCUCUGUUGUAAGAGAAGAACGAGUGUGAGAGUGGAAAGUUCACACUGUGACGGUAUCUUACCAGAAAGGGACGGCUAACUACGUG